rnacentral:rRNA from 1 species
UGGGGAAUAUUGCACAAUGGGCGCAAGCCUGAUGCAGCGACGCCGCGUGAGGGACGACGGCCUUCGGGUUGUAAACCUCUUUCAGCAGGGAAGAAGCGUUAAGUGACGGUACCUGCAGAAGAAGCACCGGCUAACUACGUGCCAGCAGCCGCGGUAAUACGUAGGGUGCGAGCGUUGUCCGGAAUUAUUGGGCGUAAAGAGCUCGUAGGCGGCCGGUCACGUCGGGUGUGAAAGCCCGGGGCUCAACCCCGGGUCUGCAUUCGAUACGGGCCGGCUGGAGUUCGGUAGGGGAGAUCGGAAUUCCUGGUGUAGCGGUGAAAUGCGCAGAUAUCAGGAGGAACACCGGUGGCGAAGGCGGAUCUCUGGGCCGAUACUGACGCUGAGGAGCGAAAGCGUGGGGAGCGAACAGG